GGCGGCGUAAAGCUGUCGCUAAAGGGAUGGACCUGCGAUGCAUUAGCUAGUUGGUAAGGUAACGGCUUACCAAGGCGAUGAUGCAUAGCCGAGUUGAGAGACUGAUCGGCCACAUUGGGGACUGAGACACGGCCCAAAACUCCUACGGGAGGCAGCAGUAGGGAAAUCUUCCACAAUGGACGAAGUCUGAUGGAGCAACGCCGCGUGAGUAAAGAAGGUUUUCGGAUCGUAAAGCUCUGUUGUUGGUGAAGAAGGAUAGAGGUAGUAACUGGCCUUUAUUUGACGGUAAUCAACCAGAAAGUCACGGCUAACUACGUGCCAGCAGCCGCGGUAAU
rnacentral:rRNA from 1 species